rnacentral:rRNA from 1 species
GAUGAACGCUGGCGGCGUGCCUAAUACAUGCAAGUCGAGCGAAUGGAUUAAGAGCUUGCUCUUAUGAAGUUAGCGGCGGACGGGUGAGUAACACGUGGGUAACCUGCCCAUAAGACUGGGAUAACUCCGGGAAACCGGGGCUAAUACCGGAUAACAUUUUGAACCGCAUGGUUCGAAAUUGAAAGGCGGCUUCGGCUGUAACUGAUGGAUGGACCAGCGUCGCAUUAGCUAGUUGGUGAGGUAACGGCUCACCAAGGCAACGAUGCGUAGCCGACCUGAGAGGGUGAUCGGCCACACUGGGACUGAGACACGGCCCAGACUCCUACGGGAGGCAGCAGUAGGGAAUCUUCCGCAAUGGACGAAAGUCUGACGGAGCAACGCCGCGUGAGUGAUGAAGGCUUUCGGGUCGUAAAACUCUGUUGUUAGGGAAGAACAAGUGCUAGUUGAAUAAGCUGGCACCUUGACGGUACCUAACCAGAAAGCCACGGCUAACUACGUGCCAGCAGCCGCCGUAA